UUUAGGCGUCCAUAUACCGGAUCUUGUCUGAUCACCGAAGUUAAGCAACAUCGGGCGCGGUCAGUAUUUGGAUGGGUUACCGCCUGGGAUGACCGCGUGACGGCGGCUU
rnacentral:rRNA from 1 species